rnacentral:rRNA from 1 species
GGAAACGGACGCUAAUACCGCAUACGUCCUACGGGAGAAAGCAGGGGACCUUCGGGCCUUGCGCUAUCAGAUGAGCCUAGGUCGGAUUAGCUAGUUGGUGAGGUAAUGGCUCACCAAGGCGACGAUCCGUAACUGGUCUGAGAGGAUGAUCAGUCACACUGGAACUGAGACACGGUCCAGACUCCUACGGGAGGCAGCAGUGGGGAAUAUUGGACAAUGGGCGAAAGCCUGAUCCAGCCAUGCCGCGUGUGUGAAGAAGGUCUUCGGAUUGUAAAGCACUUUAANUUGGGAGGAAGGGCAGUUACCUAAUACGUAUCUGUUUUGACGUUACCGACAGAAUAAGCACCGGCUAACUCUGUGCCAGCAGCCGCGGUAAUACAGAGGGUGCAAGCGUUAAUCGGAAUUACUGGGCGUAAAGCGCGCGUAGGUGGUUUGUUAAGUUGGAUGUGAAAUCCCCGGGCUCAACCUGGGAACUGCAUUCAAAACUGACAAGCUAGAGUAUGGUAGAGGGUGGUGGAAUUUCCUGUGUAGCGGUGAAAUGCGUAGAUAUANGAAGGAACACCAGUGGCGAAGGCGACCACCUGGACUGAUACUGACACUGAGGUGCGAAAGCGUGGGGAGCAAACAGGAUUANAUACCCUGGUAGUCCACGCCGUA